AGGAAGCGAGAAGUCGACGCGCCGACCCCCCGAGAGGGGGGCGAGGCGUCCGGCCCUCCGCGAGCGCCCGCGGGGGUUCGGGUUCCGGACCCGGUCCGAUCCCGUUCCCACCGCGGGGCUGUCCGCGAUCAUGGAGGUGUCCUCGGACGGCGUCGAAUUCGUCCAAAGUUCUCCGGUCCGCGACGCUACGGCUUGGAUGGUCCACCCGACCCGUCUUGAAACACGGACCAAGGAGUCUAACAUGCGCGCGAGUCGUUGGGUCGGACACGCUCCGCUAAACCCAUAGGCGCAAUGAAAGUGAAGGCCGCCGUCGGGGCGGCCGAGGGAGGACGGGGCCGCACAUCGGGCGCUCCGGCGCCCGACGGUCCCCGCACCCCCGGGGCGUCUGAUCCCUCAUCGCGAGGGGAGGCGCACCCAGAGCGCACACGUUGGGACCCGAAAGAUGGUGAACUAUGCCUGGCCAGGACGAAGUCAGGGGAAACCCUGAUGGAGGUCCGUAGCGAUUCUGACGUGCAAAUCGAUCGUCGGAGCUGGGUAUAGGGGCGAAAGACUAAUCGAACCAUCUAGUAGCUGGUUCCCUCCGAAGUUUCCCUCAGGAUAGCUUGCGCUCGGAGGAGAGUCUCAUCCGGUAAAGCGAAUGAUUAGAGGCCUUGGGGCCGAAACGGCUUCAACCUAUUCUCAAACUUUAAAUGGGUGAGAACUCCGGCUUGCUCGACCGAUCGAAGCCGGAGACGGGGUCCGUCCCUCUCGGGGGGCGGGCCCCCGGGAUCGGAGUGCAUAGUGGGCCACUUUUGGUAAGCAGAACUGGCGCUGUGGGAUGAACCAAACGACGGGUUAAGGCGCCCGAAUCGACGCUCAUGGGAAACCAUGAAAGGUGUUGGUUGCUUAAGACAGCAGGACGGUGGCCAUGGAAGUCGGAAUCCGCUAAGGAGUGUGUAAUAACUCACCUGCCGAAGCAACUAGCCCUGAAAAUGGAUGGCGCUGAAGCGUCGUGCCUAUACCCGGCCGUCGCGGCAGGGCGGACCCGGCCUCUUUUCCGAGGGCGUCGGGUGCCGCUUGAUGCGGCGACGAGUAGGAGGGUCGCGGCGGCGGGCGCAGAAGGGUCUGGGCUCGAGCCUGCCUGGAGCCGCCGCCGGUGCAGAUCUUGGUGGUAGUAGCAAAUACUCCAGCGAGGCCCUGGAGGACUGAUGUGGAGAAGGGUUUCGUGUGAACAGCCGUUGCACACGAGUCAGUCGAUCCUAAGCCCUAGGAGAAAUCCGACGCCAACGGCGACGGGAGAAAUAUUUUUGUGUGUGCGAAACGACCCGUUGAUCGGGCGAAAGGGAAUCCGGUUCCUAUUCCGGAACCCGGCAGCGGAACCGCUGUUUGUCGGGCCCUCACAAGGGGUUCGUCAGGGUAACCUAAAAGGGCCCGGAGACGCCGUCGGGAGCCCCGGAAAGAGUUUUCUUUUCUGCAUGAGCGUUCGAGUUCCCUG
rnacentral:rRNA from 1 species